rnacentral:lncRNA from 1 species
UGGACUCUGUUAAUGAGAGGCAAGCAGCUUAGAUCCAGGCAAGGGAAGACAGAACCGUCUUUAACCAGAGAAGCAGAAACAGUUGUAGCACAGCUCAUAGAGAAAGUGUUGGAGCAUGGAGUAAAUUCAACUGCCUGGGUAGCGCGCCAGCUGGAGGAAGGCAGCAAUUGGAUAACUGGAUUUGUGUCAGGAAAAUGAGAGAGAGGAGGAAGGGAGUGAGAGAGACAGACAGAGGGAGGGAGAGAAAGAGAGAUUGAGCUUUCUUCUUCCUCCCUUCUAUUUGGCCUUGGAAUACCCUGCAGACAAAGAUGGACUUCCUUUAGCCGUGUCCUCUGGCCCAGGCUACCAUCACCCCCCAAAGCCCUGAGCUUGAAACUGGGGUCAAGGAAGCCUUCCACAUGAUCAAUCAGUUACCCAACCUCUUUCCCUGUUGUGGCUCUGCCCUCCUCUGGGGUCUUGGAGUUCUCACCAUAAACAGCAAUUGUCGCCACAAAUGAAGAAUGUUCACGUUUGUUUUACAACUUCUUAAUGCACCGCAUUCAGUCUUCCUGUAAACUUGACUGCUUAGUCCUUAAAGUAUAUUGGUGGAGCAAUGUCUGCAUGCCUUCGUCAACACAUCUAUUGGCCUGUUUGUCCCAGCAUCCCAGUUGGAAUGGGAACCCUUCUAAGAAAAGCCUUUAUCCUUUACUCACCUACAAACUCACUGGGCACCCCCGGAAUUGUGGUCCUGGGCGUAUAGCAGGUGUCUAGUCACUCUUUUCUGGUUGUGCCAGUAAUUGGGGCCUGAUUACAAUUCUGUUUCAUCCAGUGCACCUCAAUGGAGAGAAACCAGCAAGAAACUCAUGCUUUCUGCCCCAUCUCCUUCCUUUCUUCUGUGUGUAAAGUGGAGAAAAGGCUGGAGAGUGUGGUAAGAUAGGAAGAAACCAAGCAAAGCACACAUAAACAAACAAAUGAAUAAAUAAAAGGGAAAAAUAGGGGAGAUUUUGAGUUGUCAAGAAAAGAAGAACUCUGAACUUUUGGCACAGACUCAAACCUGGAAACCCAGUGAGGUUUGCCCAUCACUAAUGAUCACAUAAUAAUAUGUUCCCAGGGGAGGGGCUGAGAGAGGCUAUUAAAAUACCGCAGCUCUGGUGCUCUAUGGGAGACAAGUUUUCUGAAACGUGGUCCCUGUCAGAUUUCCCUUGAGAGUCAAAGGGAAAAAUGACUGCAGUUUGGCUUCUAAAAGGUAAAAUGUUGGGAAAACUCACUGGGGAGGUUUCUUUCCCCAGCACAGGGUUUGGAAAUGCCUGCGUUUGCGUUGUAUAUUUUAAAUGUGGUGAUGGGCCAGCUUGUUAAGUGUGCUGGCUUGCUUACUGGGUGACUGGCAGGCAGCCGUAAGUGAGCGGAAACAAAACCAUUUGUGGGGUAUGAGGUGGCCAAGGUAGCCAGAACCAGCCUUUUGUGAUGUCUUCAAUAAAAACAGUUAUUUCAACGGGUGUUGGCAACUCGGCCUUUCCUUCUAGAAAGAUAGGAUUCUUGGGUGGAGUACACAUGGGUCUACGGGCAUCUUGACUGAUCACUGUGGCCUAUGAAAAGCCCUAAUUUCACCAUAUCUUAUGGGUUACACAUGGUAGGGCUCAGUAAAGGGUUUUGUGUUUUGUUUUUUGUGUUUUUUGAGACAGAGUGUCAGUCUUGUUGCCCAG